rnacentral:rRNA from 1 species
GAUGAACGCUAGCUACAGGCUUAACACAUGCAAGUCGAGGGGCAGCAUGGUCUUAGCUUUGCUAAGGCCGAUGGCGACCGGCGCACGGGUGAGUAACACGUAUCCAACCUGCCGUCUACUCUUGGACAGCCUUCUGAAAGGAAGAUUAAUACAAGAUGGCAUCAUGAGUCCGCAUGUUCACAUGAUUAAAGGUAUUCCGGUAGACGAUGGGGAUGCGUUCCAUUAGAUAGUAGGCGGGGUAACGGCCCACCUAGUCUUCGAUGGAUAGGGGUUCUGAGAGGAAGGUCCCCCACAUUGGAACUGAGACACGGUCCAAACUCCUACGGGAGGCAGCAGUGAGGAAUAUUGGUCAAUGGGCGAGAGCCUGAACCAGCCAAGUAGCGUGAAGGAUGACUGCCCUAUGGGUUGUAAACUUCUUUUAUAAAGGAAUAAAGUCGGGUAUGGAUACCCGUUUGCAUGUACUUUAUGAAUAAGGAUCGGCUAACUCCGUGCCAGCAGCCGCGGUAAUACGGAGGAUCCGAGCGUUAUCCGGAUUUAUUGGGUUUAAAGGGAGCGUAGAUGGAUGUUUAAGUCAGUUGUGAAAGUUUGCGGCUCAACCGUAAAAUUGCAGUUGAUACUGGAUAUCUUGAGUGCAGUUGAGGCAGGCGGAAUUCGUGGUGUAGCGGUGAAAUGCUUAGAUAUCACGAAGAACUCCGAUUGCGAAGGCAGCCUGCUAAGCUGCAACUGACAUUGAGGCUCGAAAGUGUGGGUAUCAAACAGGAUUAGAUACCCUGGUAGUCCACAUGGUAAACGAUGAAUACUCGCUGUUUGCGAUAUACUGCAAGCGGCCAAGCGAAAGCGUUAAGUAUUCCACCUGGGGAGUACGCCGGCAACGGUGAAACUCAAAGGAAUUGACGGGGGCCCGCACAAGCGGAGGAACAUGUGGUUUAAUUCGAUGAUACGCGAGGAACCUUACCCGGGCUUGAAUUGCAGAUGAAUUACGGUGAAAGCCGUAAGCCGCAAGGCAUCUGUGAAGGUGCUGCAUGGUUGUCGUCAGCUCGUGCCGUGAGGUGUCGGCUUAAGUGCCAUAACGAGCGCAACCCUUGUUGUCAGUUACUAACAGGUUCCGCUGAGGACUCUGACAAGACUGCCAUCGUAAGAUGUGAGGAAGGUGGGGAUGACGUCAAAUCAGCACGGCCCUUACGUCCGGGGCUACACACGUGUUACAAUGGGGGGUACAGAGGGCCGCUACCACGCGAGUGGAUGCCAAUCCCCAAAACCUCUCUCAGUUCGGACUGGAGUCUGCAACCCGACUCCUCGAAAGCUGGAUUCGCUAGUAAUCGCGCAUUCAGCCACGGCGCGGUGAAUACGUUCCCGGGCCU